rnacentral:piRNA from 1 species
AGGUGAAGCUCGGCAGUGCCGUGGUGAC